rnacentral:lncRNA from 1 species
CGAAACGUUAAGAUGUUGUUUACAUUGGAGCUGCUCAUACUUUUAGUGAUGAAUGUAAAUACAAUAUCGGGUAAGUGAUACUUUGAUAUGUUUUGUACCAGAACCAAUCAGGUUUUUCAAUGUGUUAUGGUAAUCAUGGUAAUGUUUUAUGCAUAACACCAAAAUGUCGACAUUCGCCUGAAAAAAUUACCAAACCUGUAGACCGAAUUAUGUGCAAGAAAUAUAUUCAGAUACUGUGGUAAUUGCAUCUUAAUGAAAACAAUAUUAAAUAGUUUCUCUCAUAUGGUCUUUAUUUCGGAAAUACAGUUGGGUGCAGACCAAGCAUUACAUAAAGUAAACGCAAGUUAACGCGGCGUGCACAUAUUUCGUUAGUUAACUUUAAAUUUCGCGUUUACUAGUAAACGCCCGUUUACUUCAUUAACGUUAACGCGGUCAAAAUGGAAAUUUCUAAUGUCUACUCGAGUAAACGCGCGUUUACUCUGUGUCCGUUUAGUCAGUAGUAAACGGCCGUUUACUUCAGAUUUCACAAGUUUAAUUUUACGUGCACGUAAAAGUAAACGGGCGUUUACUACAGAUUUCUCAAUUGUAUUUUUACGUGCACUUGAAAGUAAACGCGCGUUUACUUUUCGCGUUAACUAAUUGUGUAUCUUAUAAAAUAAUCGUCGUGUGCAUUUGUACAUUUAUUUAUGUUGUUAAAAUGACUUAAUAUUUUACGUAUAUGUGUUUUGAACCUUAACAUUCAAAAACACUUUUUAUUAGAAAUAUAAACAUUUAUCUAGCGGAUUUUUUUACUUUAUUAUUAUAAAAGUAUAUAUAACCAGAUAUUUUUGGAAUCAGUGUCAAUUCAAUAUUCAAAUAUUAUCGGAAGUAACAUUUGUCAAACCGAAAAAAAGAUCAUUACGAAUUGUUUCGUCAAUAAAUUCUAGAUGUACUUCCUGUAACAUUUUCUGUCUAGUGUUUACUUUAAAGUCAGUAACAGAUCCACUCUGACGGAAACGUCGUAGAAAUGCACUUAUCCCCUGUCUAGAAACUUGAACAUUAUCUGAUCGUAUCAACUCAUCUCUAACUUCAGUAUGUUUUUGCCAGAUCUUCUUAUACUUAAUAUCCUCUCACGAAUGGUUUUACAGCUCCAGGACGAAUUUCCAUUUUGUUCUUAUAUGCAAUGAUUAAUUUUCAAUAAAUUAAUUAAAGAGGUGUCAUUUCAUUAAAUGCAAUCGUCAAUGUGUUGAUCGAAAAUGGACAGAUGGAUAUUUUGAUGUACCUUAUCAUGUGAUAUAUUAGGUCAGUGUAUCCAGGAUACGAGGUCAAUCUGCGUUAACGCGCGUUUACUACAAACAGUAAACGGGCGUUUACUUUUUUUUUUACAAAAAUAGAAGACACGCCUUUUUCGCGUUAACGCGAAGUAAACGCGAAAGUAAACGCCCGUUUACUCUUUACAAAAUUAGAAGACGAACGGUUUUCGCGUUAACGCGGAGGUAAACGCGAAAGUAAACGCCCGUUUACUAUUUAUGUCUACUAAAAUUUCGGAGUUAACGCAGAGUUAACACGGCGUUUACAUGAAGUGCACGCGAGUAAACGCCGCGUUAACUUUUUAGGCCCGUUUACAUGUAAUGCUUGGUCUGUACCCAACUGUAAACACAUUUUCCUUAAACCAGUUUUAUAGCUAGGUAAAUCUCUCACUUGUAUUACAGUCGCAUACAAUUCCAUUUUUAUUGACAACGAUGUGUGAACAAAACAAACAGACAUAAUAGGUACAAAUAUCAAAAUAAGAGGUACAGCAGUCACUGUUGUGAUAUAAUCCUUAUGACUUUACAAUAAACAAACAUGUAACAAAGAAACACAAGAAACUUGCUGACUGUUAACUUACUACUGUAAGAUUUUGUCUUUUAGCAUUGAAAUUUUUUAACGAAAUUUAGAUUUUUGAUUUUGAGUUUGUGCAAAUUACACGAAUAAAGUUAAUGAUCUAUCUAGUAGAUCUUUAAAAUUCAUUUCAGGGAUUUUGUAAAAUCCCUAGUCAAAAUUUGGGAUGUUAUAAAAUCAGUGGCCAGUUAAUUGAGUUUUAGAAAUUUUAGAAAAGGUUCUGUACAGAUAACGCUAAUUUACAUUACGUUACUUUAUAUAUCUGAAGUAGUUGAUAUCACGUUAUAUGAGAUUUGGACAAGACCUUCGUAGCUGUGACUGAUAUCAAUGACAUCAAGUCAUACAUAUGAGGAGUUUUGAACUGUCACUUGUAACCAUAUCCCAUUAAUUGUAUUCUAUAUGUAAUCUACUUAAUCAGAAGUAUAUUUAUAAUGAACAUAAAAAUGUACUACAUUGAAAUUUUGUCAAAUAUAUCUUUCAUAGGAAUUGUUAACAGUACUUGUACUUUCGAAAAUGGUAAGUGCGGUUGGUCGGUCAAUGGUUUGGAUAGAUACACGUGGAAACGUCAACGUGGAAACGCUCGUCAUUUAUCUACAGGACCAGACAAAGAUCACACAACUGCAUCUGGUAAAGUUGGAAUGCAAAACAUUAUUCAUAUGAUCUGCUCUUUAUUCGGGUUAUUUUCUCGUUGACACAUUCCUCAUUUCCAUUCUAAUUCUUAUAAAAAAAAAAAACAACAAACAAACAAACAAAAAUUUAACAGAGAAGCAUUCACCUGGAAUUACAAGUAAAAUCAAAGCCUUUAAAUUCUAAUGGUUAAUACAUGUUGCCUUGAAGAAGCUAAAACUAUACGUAUACAAAUGCAUAUCUACUAAAAAGUAUGAAAUGCUUCGCAGCAUCAUGCCAUACUUUAGCUUAAAUAUUGUUUGUGCAUCUUGUAAGGGAGAAAUUGAUUUAGUUUUGUUUGCAUUAGCAUUUAUUAAUCAUGUUUUUCCAUCUUCGUAUAUUUCUCAGAGAAUUUAGUUCAUAUAACUCUCAAAAUGUCUUUCGCAUAACAUGAGACCUAACAGGUUUCAUGCAUGGAAAGGAAAGAUGAGCGCUAUCCGUUCUGAAAGUGUGUGUAUGGCUAGACCUUAAAGGGGAAACUACUAUUAUAUUAGUUUGAAUGUACCUCUGGUAUCUUUCGCCCUUCUUUUAUAAAUAUCCUACCACAAUUAUUUUCAUUAGACUAACACACUUUUCAUAACAUAUACAAUUUUAUACAUUGUACAACUAUAAGCAUUGUGGUUAUACUAGAUUUCGUGCCUUUUAAAGAAUCUAAUAAGUCUAUGCAUGAAAGAGGGGCAAAACAUAUCAGAAGGACAGUCAAACUCAUAGAUCGAAAGUAAACUGACAACGCCAUAACUAAAAAAUAAAAAGACAAACAGACAAACCCCACCAAAAACAGGGGGUGAUCACAGGUACUCCGGAACUUUAAGCAUUAUUUAGAAUGAGUAUGUAAUAAAAAAUAAAAUGCCACAAUUAAAAUUAUAAAUAGAAAUUGAGAAAUGAAGACCAACCAAGUACUUUCAGAUCUAUUCCUAGUGUCUUUUUUGAUGGGAUGUACAAGUACCCGUCCACGUCCACUUGAAUUUUUGUCAAUCUGAUGAGUUCAGCCUUUUUCAACUGACUUUUAUAGUUCGUUCUUAUGUUGUACAUUUAUACCAAUGUCCCAGGUUAGGGGAGGGUUGGGAUCCCGUUAACAUGUUUAACCCGCCACAUUAUGUAUGAUGAUAAUUAGCAAAAUAUAGCAAGAUUUAAUAGAAGCAACCAUGGGUUAUAGUGUCAAGGAGGACAUUUAUAAAACACUGUAUCGGUAGAGAUUACAUGUGACCAUUUGGCAAAUUUGUUAGACAGCAUGACGUGAACACUAAGAAUCGAAGAAAGCCUUUUUUUAUAUAACUUAUGCAAAACAUUGGGGUUGUUUAAAAUUUACACCAGUCCAGGCCCUUUUGUUUUCAACAUAAUUGAUAUUACAAAUAAUUAACAAGUUCCGGUCGAAUCUGUUUGUCACAUGUAUGCAUGUCUUGUAUCUACCUCUUUUAAUAGAAGUACGCCCAUGCUUAUGGCACACAUUGGAGUAGUUUACUAAUUUGCAUAGCGGCCGUUGUGCUUUAUCAAGACGACAGCCAUGACAAUAGUAUUAUUCAUGGCCCUUAAAUAUAAAUUCCAAAAUGUUAAUUAUUAUGUCAUUGUAUGUGGAAUUAAAAGUUGUUCUCAUAUAGGUGAAGUGUACACGUCUUUUUGCUUCUGUUCGUGUCCAAAUGAUCGUUCAUGAUUUUAGUUAAUUUACAAACUUUCGGUCUUUUUCUUUGAAAAUCGAAAGGGAAACCGAAGUAUAAUUCCAUAAUAAAAUAACGAAAAAUCGUAAAAAGCAAGAUUCAAAAUAGAAAAAAGUAUCAGAUAAAAUUAACAGCAUAUAGGGAUAACUUUCAUCUUUACCGGCUUUCUUAAGUUUUCGGUCUAAUUCUUUUAAAAACAUGAUGAUUGUAUCCUUCCCAAGACGGAAAAGGACUUGAUUAUCCGCAAAUUUGUUAUAAUAUUUAUUUUCAAUCUACAACUAAGGAACGUAUUUUAUUCAAAAGGGCCAAAAUAUCGUGGUGCAAAUCAUAUGAAAAAAGUGACUUUAAUUUUGUCUUAUGGGGUUAUUUUACUACAUUUAUGUAUAAUGGUGUUAAGGAGAACAUUUAACACUCUGUAUUUGUACAGAUUAAAUAUGACCAUUUGCCCACUCAGUUUUCAAGCCUGACAAUUAAUACUACCAAAACAGUUACAACUGAACACAAAGACACUUUUACAAUUCUUAAAUUAAAACAAUGGCAUUUUUAAGCCCCUAAUUGAUAAAUAUUGAAAAGCAAAAAUAAUCAUUGAUAAAACGUUUUCAGCAAACAAUUACAGGUGAGACAUUCAGACCCUGAAGUGCAUCUUGUUUAGUUAUUGGUGUUGUUUUGUACGCUUUUUAGGCGUUUCUAUUUUUUAUUUAUUGCGUUCAUGUACCAUUACUCGUACCAAUCCAGCGCACUCGUUGUAAAAGUGGACAAGCUUGGUUACAUUUUGUUUAAGUAGUUUCAGAGGAGAAGAUUUUUGUACAAGAUUACAAAAAAUUAAGAAAAAAUGGUAAAAUUGACUAUAAAGGACAAUAACUCCUGAAGGGGUCAACUGACCAUUUUGGUCAUUUGACUUAUCUGUAGAUCUUAAUUUGCUGAACAUUAUUGCUGUAAACAGUUUAUCUCAAUCUAUAAUUAUAUUCAAGAUAUUUAAAAAUAACAAAAAAACAGCACAAUUUCCGUAUAAUUGCCAAUUAAGGGGUAUCAAACAAACAACAGGUUGUCCGAUUUAUCUGAAAAUUUCAGGGCAGAUAAAUCUUGACUUGAUAAACAAUUUUAACUCAUGUCAUAUUUGCUCCAAACGAUUUGGUUCCAGAGUUAUAAGCCAAAAUCUAUAUUUUACCCCUAUGUUCUAUUUCUAGCCAUUGCAGUCAUCUUGGUUGGCUUGUGGGGUCAACGAACACAUUUUUGAAACUACAUACUCUAAUGAUGAUUGUGUACAAGUUUCGUAUAAUUUGCCUUAGUAGUUUCAGAGUAGAAGAUUUUUGUAAAAGAUUACAAAAAUUUACAAAAAAAUGUUAAAAAUUGACUAUAAAGGGCAAUAACUCUUUAAGGGGUCAAUUGACCAUUUUGAUCAUGUUUACUUAUUUGUAGAUCUCACUUUGCUGAACAUUAUUGCUGUUCACAGUUUACCUCUAUGUUAUGAUAAUAUUCAAGAUAAAACCAAAAACAGCAAAAUUUCCUUAAAAUAACUAAUUUAGGGUCAGCAACCCAACAACGGGUUCUCCGAUUCAUCUGAAAUUUCAGAGCAAAUACAUCUUGACCUUAUGAACAGUUGUACCACUGUCAUAUUUGCUCUAAAUGCUUUAGUUUCAGAUAUAUAAGCCAAAAUCUACAUAUUACCCUAUAUGUUCUAUUUUUAGCCAUGGCGGCCAUCUUAGUUGGCUUGCCUGUUCAACGGACACAAUUUGUUAUCUACAUUCCCUAAUGAUGUUUGUGGACAAGUUUGGUUAAAUUUGCCUUUUUAGUUUCAGAGGAGAAGAUUUUUGUAAAAAAAAUAGUUACGAAAAAUUGUUAAAAAUUGACUAUUAAGGACAAUAACUCCUUAAUGGAUCAAUUGACCAUGUUGAUCAUGUUAUUUAUGUGUAGAUCUUACUUUGCUGAACAUUAUUGCUGUUCACAGUUUACCUCUAUGGAUGAUAAUAUUCAAGAUAAUUACCAAUUUAGGGGCUGCAACCCUAAAGGGUUCUCCGUUUCAUUUGAAAAUUUCAGAGCAGAUAAAUCUUGACCUGAUAAACAAGUUUAUCACUUUUCAGAUUUGCUCUAAAUGCUUUGGUUCAGAGAUAUAAGCCAAAAUCAACAUUUUACCCCUAUGUUCUAUUUUUAGCCAUUGCAGCCAUCUUGGUUGGUUGACCGGGUCACCGGACACAUUUUCUGAACUAAAUACCCCAAUGAUGAUUGUGACCAAGUUUGGUUUAAUUUGGCCCAGUAGUUUCAGAGGAGGUGAUCUUUGUAAAGGUUAACGACGACGGACGACGACGACGACGAUGACGACGACGACGAUGACGACGACGACGAUGACGACGAUGACGACGACGACGACGACGGACGACGGACGCAAAGUGAUGAGAAAAGCUCACUUGACGUCAAGUGAGCUGAAAUGCAUCUUUCUUUGUUAAACUUGUGUUUAGACGAAUUAUAUAUGUAUAUAAAUAUACAGGUGUAUUUACAACAGUCAUUCCCGAGAAAACGCAUCAAUUAAAUAACCUAUUGAUGUCUCAUUUCGAAUAUUGUGUUUUAUGUUAUUAAACACCAUUCAAAAGAACGAAUGUGAAUACAACCAAUCUGUACAAUGCAAAGCCAUAGGAAAUACAAAAUAAUAAAAGAAUCAGUUUCGACUAUUAGAACUUAUCCAAAUAUCUGCAUUAGGUACGAUAUUAUGUCAAAUAAUUCAUCAACCGGGUCUCUUAUACCAAAGUUGAUUGUAAAAUUAAUUCAAUACGGAUUCUGAUUGUGCGUGUAAGGUUUCACCUCCUUACUGUAAGUCAUUUAAUUAAAUACCUUAUUUAUUUUAUAUAAUAUUUUUAUAUUUCAUAUUUAUAUAUAUAUGUCCGCUUUAGUAUUUUCCUCGACUUUAUACGCAAACCAAUAUAUUAUAGAAAAUGGUUACUAUUUUUGCACGGUAUCUAUAAGUCAGUCGAAAGAAAACGAUGUUAGUGAUCUACAUUCUGGUUUGAUAAACCCGAGUCCAAAGAAGUGUUUGACUUUUUGGUAUCACAUGAAUGGGAGACAUAUCAACACUCUAAAAGUAUUUCAAGUUAAAAAUACAAGUUUAAUUCUACUAUGGAGGAAGUCAGGUAACCAAGGGAACACAUGGCAUUUUCAGUUCCUGUCAUUGGAUGAUACCGGGCCAUAUAAAAUUCUGUUCAGAGCAACACGUGGUAAUGGAUAUAAAAGUACAAUCGCUGUUGACGAUAUUUGUAUUUCCAACACUGUCUGCAAGAAGG